UACGUAGGGUCCGAGCGUUGUCUGGAAUUAUUGGGCGUAAAGGGCUCGUAGGCGGUUUGUCGCGUCGGGAGUGAAAACACGGGGCUUAACCCCGUGCCUGCUUCCGAUACGGGCAGACUAGAGGUAUGCAGGGGAGAACGGAAUUCCUGGUGUAGCGGUGAAAUGCGCAGAUAUCAGGAGGAACACCGGUGGCGAAGGCGGUUCUCUGGGCAUUACCUGACGCUGAGGAGCGAAAGUGUGGGGAGCGAACAGG
rnacentral:rRNA from 1 species